rnacentral:rRNA from 1 species
GGGCUUGACAUCCCACGAACCUGCCUGAAAGGGCGGGGUGCCCGCAAGGGAGCGCGGAGACAGGUGGUGCAUGGCUGUCGUCAGCUCGUGUCGUGAGAUGUUGGGUUAAGUCCCGCAACGAGCGCAACCCUCACCCCUAGUUGCCACCGGGUCAUGCCGAGCACUCAAGGGGAACUGCCAGCGUCAAGCUGGAGGAAGGCGGGGAUGACGUCAAGUCAUCAUGCCCCUUACGCCCUGGGCUACACACGUGCUACAAUGGCCGGUACAAAGGGAUGCGAGACCGCGAGGUGGAGCUAAUCCCAAAAAGCUGGUCUAAGUUCAGAUUGCAGUCUGCAACUCGACUGCAUGAAGGAGGAAUCGCUAGUAAUCGCGCAUCAGCUCGGCGCGGUGAAUACGUUCCCGGGCCUUGUACACACCGCCCGUCACACCACGAAAGCUGUCUGUACUCGAAGUCGCUGAG